rnacentral:rRNA from 1 species
GGACCCGCACAAGUAGUGGAGCAUGUGGUUUAAUUCGAAGAUACGCGCAGAACCUUACCAACACUUGACAUGUUCGUCGCGACUUUAAGAGAUUAAAGUUUUCGGUUCGGCCGGACGAACACAGGUGCUGCAUGGCUGUCGUCAGCUCGUGUCGUGAGAUGUUGGUUAAGUCCCGCAACGAGCGCAACCCUCACUUUUUAGUUGCCAUCAUUAAGUUGGGCACUCUGAAAGAACUGCCAGUGAUAAGCUGGAGGAAGGUGGGGAUGACGUCAAGUCCUCAUGGCCCUUACGUCCUGGGCCACACACGUGCUACAAUGGUUGGUACAGAGGGCAGCUACCUAGUGAUAGGAUGCA